GAUUCCCCUAGUAACUGCGAGUGAAGCGGGAAAAGCUCAAAUUUAAAAUCUGGCGGUCUUUGGCCGUCCGAGUUGUAAUCUAGAGAAGUGUUACCCGCGUCGGACCGUGUACAAGUCUCCUGGAAUGGAGCGUCAUAGAGGGUGAGAAUCCCGUCUUUGACACGGACUACCGAGGCUUUGUGGUGCGCUCUCAAAGAGUCGAGUUGUUUGGGAAUGCAGCUCAAAAUGGGUGGUAAAUUCCAUCUAAAGCUAAAUAUUGGCGAGAGACCGAUAGCGAACAAGUACCGUGAGGGAAAGAUGAAAAGAACUUUGGAAAGAGAGUUAAACAGUACGUGAAAUUGCUAAAAGGGAAACGCUUGAAGUCAGUCGCGUUGUCCGGGAAUCAGCCUUCCUUCUGGUUGGUGUACUUCCUGGUUGACGGGCCAGCAUCAGUUUUGACCGGUGGAAAAAGUUCGAGGGAAGGUGGCACCUUCGGGUGUGUUAUAGCCCUCGUUCGUAUACAUCGGUUGGGACUGAGGAACUCAGCACGCCGCAAGGCCGGGAUUCGUCCACGUUCGUGCUUAGGAUGCUGGCAUAAUGGCUUUAAUCGACCCGUCUUGAAACACGGACCAAGGAGUCUAACAUGCCUGCGAGUGUUUGGGUGGAAAACCCGAGCGCGUAAUGAAAGUGAAAGUUGAGAUCCCUGUCAUGGGGAGCAUCGACGCCCGGACCAGACGUUUUCUGACGGUUCUGCGGUAGAGCAUGUAUGUUGGGACCCGAAAGAUGGUGAACUAUGCCUGAAUAGGGUGAAGCCAGAGGAAACUCUGGUGGAGGCUCGUAGC
rnacentral:rRNA from 1 species